rnacentral:rRNA from 1 species
CCUACGGGUGGCAGCAGUGAGGAAUAUUGGUCAAUGGGCGCGAGCCUGAACCAGCCAAGUAGCGUGAAGGAUGACUGCCCUACGGGUCGUAAACUUCUUUUAUACAGGGAUAACGCCCUCCACUUGUGCCUGUUUGCAGGUACUUUAUGAAUAAGGAUCGGCUAACUCCGUGCCAGCAGCCGCGGUAAUACGGAGGAUCCGAGCGUUAUCCGGAUUUAUUGGGGUUAAAGGGAGCGUAGGGGGGUGGUUAAGUCAGGUGUAAAAGUUGGGGGGUCAACCGGAAAAUUGCAUUUGAUACUGGCAGCCUUGAGUUCAGAUGAGGCAGGCGGAAUUCGUGGUGUAGCGGUGAAAUGCUUAGAUAUCACGAAGAACUCCGAUUGCGAAGGCAGCCUACUAAGGUGCCACUGACGUUGAGGCUCGAAGGUGUGGGUAUCAAACAGGAUUAGAUACCCGUGUAGUC